rnacentral:rRNA from 1 species
UACGUAGGGGGCAAGCGUUGUCCGGAUUUAUUGGGCGUAAAGAGCGUGUAGGCGGCUAGGUAGGUCCGUUGUGAAAACUCGAGCUCAACCUCGAGACGCCGGUGGAAACCAUCUAGCUAGAGUCCGGAAGAGGAGAGUGGAAUUCCUGGUGUAGCGGUGAAAUGCGCAGAUAUCAGGAAGAACACCCGUGGCGAAGGCGGCUCUCUGGGACGUGACUGACGCUGAGACGCGAAAGCGUGGGGGAGCGAACAGG